CCAAGAGUCCAGGUACCUCUUCCCUUCCUUUCUCCUCUAGGGCCCACCAGCUCUGAGCAGAUCAUGAAGACAGGGGCCCUUUUGCUUCAGGGGUGAGUUUGAGGUCUGAUUAUUGUGGCACAGAUUUGAGGAGUGACACCCCGUUCUGAUUCUGCACCCUCACUCCAUCCCCACUCUAGUUUCAUCCAGGAUCGAGCAGGGCGAAUGAGGGGGGAGGCACCCGAGCUGGCCCUGGACCCGGUGCCUCAGGAUGCGUCCACCAAGAAGCUGAGCGAGUGUCUCAAGCGCAUCGGGGACGAACUGGACAGUAACAUGGAGCUGCAGAGGAUGAUUGCCGCCGUGGACACAGACUCCCCCCGAGAGGUCUUUUUCCGAGUGGCAGCUGACAUGUUUUCUGACGGCAACUUCAACUGGGGCCGGGUUGUCGCCCUUUUCUACUUUGCCAGCAAACUGGUGCUCAAGGCCCUGUGCACCAAGGUGCCGGAACU
rnacentral:sRNA from 1 species